CCUACGGGAGGCAGCAGUGAGGAAUAUUGGUCAAUGGACGAGAGUCUGAACCAGCCAAGUCGCGUGAAGGAUGACUGCCCUAUGGGUUGUAAACUUCUUUUAUAUGGGAAUAAAAUGUUCCACGUGUGGGAUUUUGUAUGUACCAUAUGAAUAAGGAUCGGCGAACUCCGUGCCAGCAGCCGCGGUAAUACGGAGGAUCCGAGCGUUAUCCGGAUUUAUUUGGUUUUAAGGGAGCGUAGGUGGAUUGUUAAGGCAGUUGUGAAAGUUUGGGGCUCAACCGUAAAAUUGCAGUUGAAACUGGCAGUCUGGAGUACAGUAGAGGUGGGCGGAAUUCGUGGUGUAGCAGUGAAAUGCUUAGAUAUCACGAAGAACUCCGAUUGCGAAGGCAGCUCACUGGACUGCAACUGACACUGAGGCUCGAAAGUGUGGGUAUCAAACAGGAUUAGAUACCCCUGUAGUC
rnacentral:rRNA from 1 species